UGCCUCGGGCUCGGGCUCAGGCCCAGGCCCCGCCGCCGCCGGCGGACGCGGCUCCCGCUCCCCUCAGCCGCCGCCGCAGCGCUACGUGGCCGCCGCAGCCAGUCUCGCGACUCCGCCGCGCGGGCGCGCGCCGAGGAGGUUGCGCUCCACUUUGACGAGCAAGUUUUUGUUACUGGAUUAUUAAGAGCAACAAGGUUAGAAACGCCAGAGAGGGUGGGGACACCUUGUUUGUUUGAGCAGCGAGGGCGGCCUGCCUUCAUGUUACCCAAGCCCGAAGCUCUUUCUAUUGCCCUGACAAGUAGAGCCCUGAGAGCGAGUGCUCACACCCUGCUAACACCUCCGGAACCCUGCGAGGGAAGGGCCAGCGUCCUGGGAAGAGGAGUCCAGCCUUGGCCAGGAAUGCCAGGCAGAACAGUCCUUGACUACAGAGUCUCAACUUUUUGUUUUUACAUGAAGGAGUCUGCCAAUACCUGAAAAGUUUGGUGGAGGAUGCCUGACAGUGCUCGCUCACUGCUGCACAGUUCUCAGAGCAACAUCCCAGCAAGCAGAAGGCUGUUUCCUCACCCAGUAUCCCUGUGCAGCCCACACAAAACCACGUCCUGAUUUUAGGGUCACUGUUCCCAUCUGGAGCCAGGUAGCUCGACGACCCACAUGGUCUACAAGGCUGAAGAGCAGCUAUAAACACAAUUUAAACAAGGGGUUCAGCUAGCACCCACCGAGACAGCUACAGGUUCAAGAGCGGCUUUGAAGUCUGGCAAGUUCAUGGCAGCUUUAGGCAUUAAGUGAGGCAGAGCGAGGGUAAAGGAGCAGUUAACAGCCAGGGAACAUUUGUAAAAAGAAUUACACCCAAAAGCAAAGGAAAUGGUGAUUAAUCAGACCCAGGGGCCACUGUUAGAGCCUCAGACACCUCCUGCAGAGGCCAACAGAAAAAGCAGCAGGAAACACUCCACACUCCACUGAAAACGCAGAGCUGGAGGGAGAGGUAAUGCAGAGCCACAGAAGCUGAGAAGGGAUUUCAGACACACAGUUUUGAGCCCAACACCUGGUGCAUGAAACUCAGAGAGAGAAACACAGGAAACGCUAAGGGGGCUUUAAAAGGAGCCUUGGGAGAAAAGUGGAAGCUUCCUUACAAGUGUCUGAAGCGGUAAACCAGAAGAAUAAAGAACAAGAGCACCGGAGGAGGGAGAAGUCUGGAAGUUAUUUGGGAGUUAUGGACCUGACUGCUCAGCUGCUUAAAAUAUUUUGCAAGCUCAGGCACCUCAUCACUGCAAGAGCGUACCCUGCCCAGCAGAAAAAGCAGGCAAGUCUUCCCAUUUUGCCAGAGGCGAGGGCAACAACCCAAAGUGGCUGUAUGAUGACGAAAUGAGCCCACCACUCAGCAGCUUUCCUGAGGUCUCAACAUCCUCAGGGUAGCGAUGACACCCACCUAAGACUGCGUUGCUCAGGGAUAACAGACAUCGUAUGAGCACCCUAUUUGCAGGCUGGGGGUGUGCCAGGCUAGAGCCGUGCCUUCCGACAGCUGCUGACAGGUUUGAAGUUCACUGUAGGCUGUACCUGGUACAAUACACCCCCAUUUUGUUUCCAACAGCACAGUGUUGAAUCAAAAGAGCACUCUGGAAAAAUAUAUGUACAUGCAGUAAAUGACAGCCUGAACUGUGCAUGGAAAGCAAUUAAAAACCCUCACAAUAACCUCAAGAUACUUUCAGCCUUACCUCCUUGUUUCAGGAAUUCAGCCUAAGAAUCAUAUUUCAAGAUUUUGUCAAGACCUAUUUGGAUAAAAGUCGCUUAGCACAGGCAAAUAAUCUAGCACCAGCAUGGGGGGGUCUUGCUUCACUGACCCAACCUUCAUUCUUCUGAGAUACAUUUUCAACAAAACAAACAACCCCACGCUACUACACUUGGGACCGUGACAUUUAUUGAAGGCUGGUUAUACAAUCUCACCCAUCACAUCCUCCUCACAAUUCAGUUUCCCUAAAUAAAAAAAGCAUUGAUGUAACAGAGAA